CGGAGCUACAGCUCUGUGUCUUGGAGAAGAUUUAUUUUCAAAGCUACAUGUGUAACGGUAAUAAACCGUGCCAGAGCAGACCUCAUUAGCACUUCCGCUAGGUCGGCUAACCUUUCCGGUCACUCCAGGGACGCUGUUGUCGAGUGAAAGUAGCAGUUCCUCCUGAAGGUCAGAGAUUGCAGCAACCGAGGGCCUCUUCAAAAGAAGAUGUAGUUGAUGAAGGCGUUCUGGAGCAGGACCAGAAAGACCACGACCAAGCAGCCUUGAGAUCUUAGACAGCGUCUCCCUCAGGUCCCUCUCUAUCUCCCCACACAUCCACCAACCACUGGAACACAUCUCCAAAGUUCUGCUGGACCAGCUC
ensembl:lncRNA